CUUCAAAUAUGCUGACUGGUAGGAUUCCUACAGAAUUGGUGAAUAUGAAGUUUCUUGAAGUGCUGAAUCUUUCCUAUAAUAACCUUGUGGGAGAAAUACCUCAAGGAAUGCAGUUUGGUUCUUUUUUGAAUGAUUCCUAUGAGGGAAACUUGGGCUUAUGUGGAGUUCCAUUGUCAGUGAAAUGUGGGGAGGAGCAUGAUCAACAUUCUUCAGAAACAUUGUGGAGAGAAGAGAAAUUUGGAUUUGGUUGGGAAGCAGUGGCUAUAGGAUAUGGGUGUGGAAUGGUAUUUGGAGUGGUGAUGGGAAGCUUUGUAUUUCUCAUGCGAAAGCCUGAAUUUCUUGUGAGAAUGUUUGGUGGUUAAGUUAGUUAUAUGCUGAAAAGGAACACUGUUGAGUUGAGGACUCAUGAAAAAGAAUAAAUCAGCCAUGCAAGUAUGAUACUUUAUAUGUUGUUUUCUUUUUCUUUAAUUGUGGUGAAUUUGUAAGAGUGUUUCAAUGUUUAUAAACCUUUAUAAUAAUAUUUCAUUUAUAAUAAUCUACAAUUAAAUUGAUUAUUUUUGUUUAUAUGCAAUAUUUGUUUUGUUUGAAGGAUUGUGAACCCCAUUAUAAUUUUGAAUAAUUUUCUAUAAAAUUCUAGUCUAUUUCUAAAUACGAUAAAUUUAUAAAAAAUAGAAAAUAACAGAGGAAACAAGGUUUUAGAUGAGUAGAAAGAAAGAAGUGUUUGUUUAACUUAAUAAUUGAAGAAAUAAAAACUCUAAAUUUCAUUGAAGGAUAAAAUCAGAGCAGUCUCUGACCCGCAAUGACUUCCAAGUGAAUGUAAGUGGCAGUAUUUGUUUGAUAUAAUAAAUUUGUCAAACCAUAGAUAUGCCUGUAAGCAAACUUAGUCAAAGAAAAAGUAAACUUUUUUUAUAUUAAGAAAAUGUAUAUAACUUUAAUACAACAAAUAAGAAGAGGUUAUAUUUAUAUAGAGUGUUUAUGAUAUAUUGUGAACAUAGUUAUUUUUUAUGGAGAGAAUAUUAAGUUGAGAGUUUUAAGUUGUGUAUUGAUUUUGAUAUUCUACAUGAGAUAUCCUCAUUCCAUUGAUAUUUGACUCAUAUAGAACAAUUUUUGUAUCUGGUGUGAGUUGAAAGAGAUUUUUAUAACCUAGUAUGUGGUAUGAAAACAAAAUUCAUAUCUAGUACACAUAGAAAUUUACCCUAUGACAUGAGUAAAUGUGUUUCUACUAUAUAGGUUUGUUGUGUAGGUUUGUUGUGUAGGUUUGUUGUGUGAGACAAUUUAGUAAAAAUAAUGUGACAAAUAUAAAUAUAUGAGUUUAAUUCUAUACAUGCAUCUUACAGAAGUAAAAUCAAGAAUGAGAUUUGAAAUGAGUUUUAUAAAUUAUAAAUAUGUACAUAUAUAUGAUUUAUUUUAAUAUAUCUAUACGUGAGAUUUGAAAACAUUUUUACACACUAAAUACUACUAAUAAAAUAUAUAAAUAUGAUUCAUGAGAUUUAUUAAAAGAAAAUUCGGCUGUUUUCUCUUACUCGGACUGGUGUCUGGAACCUCUUUGUUGUAUGAGGUAUUUGAAAGUCUGAUUUUUUGCGUGUUUAUCUAACGUUUUUCCCCAGUCUUGGUAGUUGUUGUGAGGUUUGUGCAGGUUUCAUCGGUAACUCCUAUCUGGCAAGGUUGGACUGAGGCUUGGAAGGUAUUGCGUGGAUGUGCAGGUGCCUUGGUCAUUCCUUUUUGGCAGGGUCGGAUUGAUGACUUUGUUUUGUGCUGCAGUAAAAGUGUUUUUGUUGUAUGCUUAUUGGUUUGGUGCUGGAUAUUUUACGGUGUUUGAAAUGUGGCAAAGGUUAUGUGGCGUGUUUUGGUUACUAUUGUGGCCAAGUCGGGAGGAUGCUAUGUGUAUUUUGUAAGGUAUUUUUGGCUUACGUAUCCUUCGUAUAAGGAUUGGUCUGACAUUUUUAGCAUUUGGGUUCUUGGUACAUCUUAGUCGGUUCAAAGUUAUGACUUAGUUGUUGGAUGGUGUGCCUUGUAUUGGUUUGUUGAGCUUGACUCUUGGGUAAGGUCCUCCAGCUUGAUGGCAAAGAUCUUGUUUAGUUGUUGGAUGUAUGUCCUUGUUUGAGGGUGUGACCUCUCUGGUGGGAUGAUAUAACUGUAUUUGUUGGGUUUCUUUACCUUGUCUGGGAUUUUAGCUUGAUCUGCAGUACAAUGUUUGUUGGGUCCUUAGUUGGUAGGGUUCUAGAAAACCUGUUUUUUGAGUUUUGUAUAAGAGUUGAGACACCCCUAAAGUGGCUCAUUUUAUUUUAUUUAUUCUUUGCUGAUUGAAACUUUCAUAUGAAAAAUAUGUUUAAAACUAACUUGUUAAUAUUUUCACAACAAAAGUAUACUUUCUAUAGCGGGGUUAAAAAAUAUAAAUAAUCACAUAAUACAUAUAUUCAGAUUUACCUGUUAAACAUAUUAAGACUGAAAAUCCUAUAUUCCAUCACUGAAAACAUAAAUAAAAUGUUUUCCAAAUUUCUAUUCAUUGUUUGAGGUUUUACGUUUUUCAUGAAAAUGUAAUAUUUGUAUAGAUUGAAGAUUUUUUUUUCUUCAAACUCUAUGUUCUCUAUAUUUGAUACAUAUCAUAAUAGCUAUAUUUUUUUUCUUGUUAAAUAUUUAAUUAAUAUAAAUUUAGUAAAAAACAUGUUCAACUUUCCAAGUCUAUUUUGCAUGAAAUAAUUUUAAUAAUAUGUUUUAAUGUUGUAUUAAAAAAUGAUAAUGUGAAUAAUUUUUUUAAAUUAUAAUUGUUGUAGGAUAGAAGAAGCAUGUAACAUAAUAGGAAAUAUUUAAUUAAUAUUUAAUUUUGUAAGUAUAUCGCUCAGGCUUCAAAGUUUUCUUUUCGUACUUGUGCUUUUCUUCCGUACGUGGUUCUCUAUUCGACCUUUUCACUUCAUCUUCUUACUUACCCUUUGCUCUGCAACGCGGAUUUUCUGCUUCUAAUCAAAAUCAGCAGCAACAAAGCAUAGCCAGGUACGUUUCAAAUCACAGUUCUUUUCUUCCUUCAUUCUCUCAUACUCAAAACAAACUCUCAUUCUGCACCUCAAAUGGCUUUACUUGCACCAGAGGUAACCCAGUAGCCGCUUCUUCCUUUCCUCGUUUCCCCUAAGAUAAAGUCUGCGUCUUUUGGACUUCUCAUGGCAUUUCAACUCGAAACCGAACCUGGGUCAUCGCCUAGGUCCAUUUCUACCACUAAUAAAAAAAGCUACGAUGAAAUGAGCAUUUCUGAGCUUGUUUCAGUUCUGCGUGUUGCGUUUCAAAUGAAGGAUUUUGAUGAAGUUGAAGAAGAGUUGGUGAACAGGGAAGCCAAACUUAGGGCAGAGAUUGGGCCACUCAAGGAGAAGAUUGAGCUGGAGAGGCUCAAUAGUAUUGAAGCCGAAGAAAGACUGAAAAUAAGAGAGGAGCAAUGUGAAAAGGGGAAGAGAGCCCAGGAGAAUUAUGAGCAGUUGUUGAAGGAAGUGAAGAAAAGUGUCCUGGUUGAAAACAUUACUAUUGAGGAGUUAAGGACAAAGAACGUUGCUUUAGAACGUGAAAUCUGUGAGCUGAAGGAGUUCAAGAAAAGCAUUCUAGAUGAAGGCAAAUUUGUGGCUGAACUAAGGGCCAAGAUCCGUUUGUUGGAGGAAAAGGUUGGGGAUAAGAGUGCUCUUGAUUCCCUUAACAUGAAGAACAUUGAAUUGGAGGAAGCAGUUAAGAAGAAUUUGACUGUCAUAGAAGGGUUUAGGACUGAAAAUGAUAAAUUGACAGACGAGAAGCACGAACUUAAGACAUUAUUUGAGUCUCUGGAGAGGAGAUAUAGUGAACUCCGCGUCAGUGAUGUGAAGUUGCACUGGGGAGCCUGUUACUUUUCAAAGGAAUGAAGAUACUCAUUACUCUGUUGAUGUCGGCACUGCUCAGUCUCCCAAUAAAGGGAACAAGGAUGAAGCUGUAGGUGCAUUAGGUAUGGAAAUGAACAUUUUGUUCACUUUGCAUUUCUCGCAUCUAUAAUACAGAUUUACAUUUAUAUAAUUUCCUCUAAAAUAUUAAAUUGGAUCAAACUGAAUGGAGUAAUACACUUUGGUCAUAUUUCUUCGUAUCUUGAACCGUGACGACUUAUUGAGAGAAGGAAAUGGCUAUUUUCGAGAACCAUGUUUUAGUAAACUAAUUGAAUUGGUGUGGUGAAGCAAGCAAUUCUUGCUCAAACUGGAUUAAUUGAUGACUGAACCAUUUUAAAUUAAACUAGUCAAAAACUCAUCAUAGUUUGGAACUAUUAGUACACAAUUUAGGAACACACAGUCCUCACAUCAUCCAAUCUUGUUGUUGAAGUAACGAUGUCAUAAUUAAGUUCAGCACAAGUUUGAGGUUUGAUGACCAAGUUUACACAAUGAAUUUAUUACUUUUGAAGAAUAGGCUGAGGUGUCUACUUGCAAAUGCAAGGUAUGGCAGCCUACAAAGACAUUCCUUGAACCCCCGCAAAGAUGGAGCUAUAUAGCGCCAAAUUACCCCUGUUUCCAGCCUAUGGUGUCUACAGUGCAAUGAUGCCUAAGGUUUAUUUAACGUCACAGCAUUGUUCCUGUUGUCUUCCUUAGAUGUUCAACUCAUGGUUUGAUUGGUAAUUUGGUAGAUCUAUAAGAUUUGAGGGUCCUAACUUUAAGCUGUAAAGUUGAGGUUUUCUUCUGCUUUAUGUUCUUUUAUAUUUUGUUUGCGUAGGUAACUGUAAAUCAUCUCUUUUGUGUUUUCUUUCCUUCUUAUGAUAAUAUUUUCUUUCAAUAAGAACACAAGAAAGAGCAAACGGAAGCAGGCAAAGGUAACUCAUUUUGUUUGUUCCAUACAAUCAAGAUUACAUGUAUCUGCUCUGAAUAAUAAUACGUUGUUAAUUACUUGAAGAGCCCGAGACUGGAUUUCUCAAGAAAUGCCGAGACAACAACCAAAUUUUUAAUUGAAUUACAGAAUCUACUAGUCUUUAUUCUCCUAGAUGUUGUGUGAAGUAUAUCAAAUUUAACACAUUUUUUCUGUACCUGCAGGGGUAAAAUUCAAAUUGGAAAAGGAGAUCAUAGACCUAGGUGGUGAUGAUGAUGAUAGGUGUACAUCACAAGGAUUGCAUGGAGAGAAAGUUAAUUCUCAAAUAAUUGCAGAAAAUGAACAUCUAAAAAGGGUUGAAAUGAUGAAAAGAAAACGUGCUUCUGAUAUUCAGACUUCUACUUCCACAUCUAUAUCCUCUGCUGAUUUAUUUGAAAUCGAUAAUCGCCCUGCAAAGAGAAGUAAGUUCUCUAACCAAUAUUAUAUGUGAAAGCUUAGAUUAGUUCUUAGUUUAAAUUAUCAGCGUGUUGGAAUUGUAUAUCUAGCUAUGGUAGUCACACUUUGUAUCCUUCUGAAUAAUUAUGACACUGGCAUGAAAUAUGACUUUGCUCGAUGACUGUUGUUUAUUGGAAAAUCUGACUAAUUAUAUUAACUAGUUUUCUCACCUAAUCAAAUUUUUAUCUUUUAUUGCUUUCAUCUUCAAAGCUCAGAUUUGAUAAUUGUUGUAACUUUGGAUUGCCCGAUAGAUUGAAUAUAAAUUCUCUAGUAAAUUUACUAAUUCACAUCUAUCAAUUAUCUAUUUCACUUCUUUUUCCUCUAUUAGGAUUUGUUUAAUUGUUUCUCAUCUUAUUCUAUUAGUGUUUGAAGAUGUAGGUAAUAUUAAUUGUAUAUUCUCCUCUGUUAAGCUAUUUUCUCAGAUAGGAAAACCUUAUUCUGUGUAAUGUGACAUUUGCCACUUAUAAUGAUUUCAAUUCACCAGUUUAGAAUAAUCAAUUUAAAACACAAUUUCAUUACUUGUGGAUAUUUUGUGUCUAAAGAAGAGAUGUUAAUUAAUAAUUUCUUUACUUUUAUUUUCAUUAUGAUAUGUAUUAAUUAUUCUUCCAUGUUUAGCGCCAUUGGCAACUCACACACUGGGCACUCCCUGGGUUUCCUCACCAUCUCUCUCACGCCAAUCUAGGUAGGUCCUCAAAUUCUCUCUCUGUCUAUUAUUUAAGAAAUUUGUUUGAUGCAGCAUGUUUUGAUUGAAUGUUAUCAUGAAAUGUUUUUUUCAAAUUAUAAGACAAUAUUUGUGUUUUUCCCCUGUUGUGACCUUUGUUUCGACAAUGUGAACAUUUUUCAGCUUAUUAGGAACUGCCUCAUCCAUUUCAUUACGGAUGCAAUUUGUAGUUAGUCUUUCGGAUUCUUUUCUUUGUAUGUGUGGGUCGGAAUGCAGCUCAUUUAUAAUGCAGAUAUUAUGUAAUUUUUUUUGUAUUUAUUUGUGUGACUUGUAGUUUAUCCAUUCCAAUGGCUGGUCAUCAAAGACUCCCUUCAGACAUGUCUCUUUUACGUCUCCAAGACAAACAUGUGACUAAGACAGUUUGGGAAGGGAACGAAAGAUUACUUCGUCCACGACGCCAUGCAAUAUGGAUUAUGAACCAUGCAGAUUUGGUCCAUCCUCGUGUUAAAGCCAUGAUGGAUGGCGUUGGAUUCGGACACCUGCUCACCUUUUCCAAUAUAGACAUCAACCAUCACCUGGUGAUGGCUUUAGUGGAGAGGUGGAGAACUGAGACACACACAUUUCAUCUUCCACACGGAGAAACCACUGUGACGUUAGAAGAUGUCUCCGUGCUAUUGGGUCUUCCGAUUGAUGGAGAACCUGUUACCGGCUUCACCAAUGGGGAUUGGGUGUCUAUGUGCAGACACUUGUUGGGGAUCAUACCCCCUGGAAAUGUUGUCAUAGGAAAUACAAUAAGAUUGUCAUGGCUAAACAACAACUUCCAUCAACUUCCUGAUGAUGCAUCUGAAAAUGUCGUUGCUCACUAUGCACGGGCACAUAUUCUUACCCUCAUUGGGAGUUUACUUAUGCCAGAUACAUCGGGGUCUCGGGUGCAUUUGAUGUAUUUGUUAUUAUUGGAUGAUUUGAAUAACGUCUCCAGUUAUAGUUGGGGUUCAGCUGUUCUUGCCUGUUUAUAUCGUGCAUUAGAUCACGGUAUUAACUUCAACCAGGACAAUAUUGGUGGUUGUAUGCUGCUCCUUCAGUGUUGGGCAUGGGAACGCAUUAAGUGCAUCUCUCCUUCUUUGCCACCCCUAAGUGCAGAAGACAUUGCUUCUGGACUUGGUUAUCCACUUGCAAAAAGGUAUAAACAUUAUAACCCAUUUACUUUCCACAAAACUUGUUAAUACGCCUACAUUAGUAACUUGUUUGUUAAACCCUCAAACUUCAAAUUGCUUAUUACAGGUGGUCACGUGCACUCUCUCAGAGGCAACACCAACCUACAAGUUCAGUGUCAUUAAUAAGGUCAAUGUUGGACCAGUUACAGUCGAAACAGGUUAUCUUUUAUAUUCAAUUUUCAAUCCUCAUGUUAUCCAUUGUUGCCAUUGACUUAUUCUAAUGAAAUGGUACUGCAGUUCAUCUGGUGUCCAUACACCGAGGAUGAUAUUGCUGCAUUGAUCAUUGGUGAGGUGUCUUGUGUUUGUCGAGCUGUUGUUCCGUUGAUUUGUUUUGCAACAGUUGAAUUUCACCAGGCUGAUCGGGUCAUGCGACAAUUUGGCUUUCGACAAACCAUUCCCACGGAUCCGCUAAACCUGGAUCAACUUCAUAAAGAGGAUAUGAGGGGCCGCACAGAGAGGUAUUGGCCACAAUACCAUGAAAGAUGGAUAGUGCUAUGGAAUGAUCGACAUAAUCGACUCAUUCAAGGUGUUCAAUUUAAUGGUAAUGGUCAUUUGCGUGACACCACCACGUAUAUGCAAUGGUAUAUUAACCAUACCAUUCGCUACAUAUCACUGCCACAACAAACUUCGGAUGAAGAUGUAAGCUUAAAUACUAACCAACCCAUUUGGUCAUGUACUUUUACUUGUCUGACAAUUUCCAUUGUUUAUUCACAGUAUGACAUGCCAGUGAACUGAUUAUUCGAUAGAUAUAAAUACAUCAACGAUGGCAAAGAGAAACACCAAGAAGGAAUUGUACCAUUUAGAAAGUUGUGAGUCAAGAAUAACAUAGCUAGAUUAGAAAACCCUAUUAUUUUGUUGGGCAGAGGUCCCUCUAAUUUGUUACGUGAUAUAUCCAAGUAAAUGAGGUGUUGAAGAUUUGAAAUUGUUGAUGGCAGCUCACCUUGGAUAUUGUUCUCUCUUAAAUUCAAUUUUUCAAAUCUGUUUGAUUGAUGAAAAACAUUUGGUAUUUGACCACUGAGAUGAUUUUUAUAGAGAAGCAGAACAUUUAGAUGUGGAAGGGUUAAGUGUGAGGAUGGAAUUGAACCAUUGAGGGAAUUGUCCGAGAGGUCCAAUAAAGUAAGACUUGUAAGGUUAGAGAAAGAAGGAGGGAUUGACCCUUGGAAUUUACAAAAUGAGAUUUGUAAGACGUUGAGAGAAGCUGAACUACAACUCAGGCUUGGAAGUUGGGCAUGAAGGUCAAAAUUAUAUGAUAGAUAUAGGUAUUGUAGAUUUGGCAAACAAAGAAUGUCAUCUGUCAACUUUCCUUUCAACCCAGUUCCUCUAAGACUUAGAGUGAUCAGAGAGGAAGACAAAUUGAGUGAGCUCAUUGAAGUUGAUGACAAAUCUGUAAAACUCAAAACUAGCACCCUUAAUUCGGUUGCAUUUUGGAGCAUCCUCUUCCAUGUGCCUUCCUUCCACAUUAACUUAUGAUACCCAGAGCAAGAGAGAUGAAGUGAUUGUAAUUUGGAAAGAUGUGAGAUUUGAGGAGGAAUUUCACCUUCAAAGUUUGAAGAAGACAAGUUGAGGUGUGUGAGGUGCGCAAACUGACCUAUUCGAGAUGGAAUGUGAGAGUUGGAGAAGUCAUUGAAAGCAAGAUUGAGUGAUUGCAUAUGAGAAAGAGUGAAAAGGGUACUGUUUGCAUUGAUUUGACCCUUAAGCCCACCACAUGUAAGGUCGAUGGCGGUAACAUGACCAGAAAUGGUGUCACAUUUGAGUCCAGACCAAGUGCAACAAUCUGUUCCAUUUUCCCAUGUUGCUAUGGUUGGAUAAACCUGGUCGCAAUAACGAUCAUCAUUCAUAGUUAAGGAGGCCUUGAAGUGAAGCAAUGCAAGGUUGUCAUGGGGGUGACAGAAGGAAUGGGAGAAUGAAAAAUGAAAGAGCAGAAAAAGGCAACAGAGAUGAAUUAGUAUAAAGGCAACAGAAAAAGGCAACAUAAUAACACAGAGAGUUAGUAUAAAGGAGAUAUAGAUGGAAGGAUAAGGAAUUAAAGAUUGUGGUCCUAGACUCAUAGUUUGUCAUAGAAAGAAAUUUCAAAUCCUUCUGUUCAACUGGUUAGAAGUCUUUGUCGUGAUUAAAGCAUGCAUGACUUGGGUUCCUAUUUCGCUUCAAGAAAGCCAAAGUCAUAAUUUACUAAUCAAUGGAGUAAUAAUAUGUCAAAUUUCUAGCCUAACCAUUAUGGAUCGUUCCUUGUACUGCCACUUACGUUGACUUGGAAGUCAUUGCGGGUCAGAGUCGACACAGUCAUGCUCUGAUUUUAUUCAUCAAUGAAAUUUACAGUUUUUAUUUCUUCAAUUAUUAAGUUAAACAAACACUUCUUUCUUUCUACUCAUCUAAAAACUCGUUUCCUCUGUUAUUUUCUAUCUUUUUUUAAAUAUAUAGAAACUGACAUUUUAUUUGCGAGGAAUAGAUAUAAUGACUUUUAUAGAAACUGACAAAUACAACUAUAUUUUUUUUGGAUAAAUAGACAAUUAAGUACAAUAUGCCCUUAAAUCCUCCAGAUUUUCAUCAUUAUCUAUAAACUUUUUCUUUGUUUCAGUUUCAAUCAGUGAUCAUCGGAUUUGUCCAAAGUGGAGUUGGACCUCACGCUGUACUCAGCAACAAGUUGAGCAUGUGAAGAAUGAGAGCCUUUAAAAACAUCAUUAUUGUUAUUAUUUUUUUUAUCAGCAAGAAAAGAAAUAAUAAAUGUGGCUCACUUUAGGGGUGGUCGUCCAACCCCUCUUUCAAAGCAAUAGAGACAUACACCUCAAGAAAAUCCCGUCUCCCUAUCCUGCCACAACUAGCUAAAAAACUAUUUAAAAUCCAAAGACCAACCCCACCACUCUAUCAGCAACUAUUAAUUGAGUACAUACAUACUAGGGGAUCAAGUGAAGGAGACCCACAUGCCCACUUCUCCUUCCCCGCCCCAUUUCUGGGACGGGCCUCGCUGUCGCCUUUGGCUCGAGCUAAUCUCCCGGGAACUAGGCACCAAUCAGAGAACAAGAAACUUGUUGAAUGUAUCUUUGAUGAGAUCCAAGACCAAACUUUCAUUUGUGCUAAGGAGAAGACUUCAUAAUAGUCUACCACUCCUCCGUUGAAUAAAUAAUUAUUUUUAUGUUCAAAUCUCACUUAUGAACGCAAUCCAAACAUUACCUAAAAUAAGAUUAACUGAAGUGGUCGCAUCAAGAAUUUUAAACGUCUCGAAAUGUGACCCAAGAGAGAGAAGAUUUACCGAACCCACUCCUAACCAAGUGUAACAAAGAUUCCAACCUAGCCAAACGACUCUGCAAUUGAAAAACAGAUGACUUGUUGACUCCUCUAACACCCUACACAAACAACAAAGAUUGCUCUCAACAUGAACCCCUCGUCUCUCCAGGUUAACCUUGGUGCCACAAUCAGCCUCAAGUUUAUCUCUGAACCCAGGAAAAACUCCAACAACACUGUCUCUGCUGUCUAGUUGUACUCCUCGAACAAUCCUUUGUUUCCUAUAGCCAACAGCUAUAAGAGGACCCACCCAAGAGAAGGUAAAAGAGCUCAGAAUUCCAGCAUAUGAGAAAGGGGUAACAGUGUCCCCACCCCUGGUCCCUUUUGAUCUCAAGGCAUCACCAUCAUUUGCGCCACCAUUCAAAAGAGGUUCCUGAAUACCGUUAUUUUCUUUUUCUGGAACCUGACCUUGGUUUUUCACAAAAUACCCCACGUAACAGAAUAACAUACCAACACAAGUGGAAACCACAUCAGAAACCAAGUACUGAGUUGGCAAAGCAACGCGUCUCUCUGAUAUAACAACAAUGUCCACCACGAAGCAAUAGCAAGAAACAGAGAGGUACAGGACGCACCAAGCUCUGAAGAGGAAUGAGAACCUUCUUUCGGCUGAACUGAAGAACCCCUUGUUCAAGCAAACACAAACAACGCCCCACGCAACUGUUUUGAGCACCAAAUCCAAAAGGGUCACGAGCUCUUCCUCUGACCAGCCACUAGAGUAGCAGUAGAAGUAAUUGAAGAAACAGAGGAGAAAACUGAAAGCAGAAACACCCAGAGAAACAAACACGGUCGUUUUAAAGAGGGUGUUGUCGAGCUUCUCCUUAGACUCAUCCCUGACACGUGUCGUGAAUUUCUUCCAAACCCAUGACAAUGAAACCGCGACAAGCAACAGAAGGUGGAGGAAGCCGGAUAAAACGGGUUGGAGGAGAACAUCUUUAGAAAGGUGUAUGUGGGAAAGGGGCAAGAAAAGAGGCAAGAAAAGAGGCAACAUGGCAAUUAGAAUGAACGACGAAAAACAACAUGUGCUGAACUCAAAAUGAGAUGUGUAGUGUAAGAUUGUGUGAAAGAUGAAGUAUUUGAGAUCUAUAAAGAGUAGGAAAUUGUGAUCAGAAAAGUGAACUAAAAAAGGAAUUGAAGAGAGAAAUAGCAGAAGAGAUACAAGAAUCUGAGUUUAAUAUGACAGAGACUAUGCCAACACUAUGCCAACAAUGGAAGAGAGAGUCUGUGAAAAUGCAGAAGUUUUAAGAAUGGUUCAUGAUAUCUUUACUUCAUAUAAUUAACAUAUAUUUAUAUAACUAACAUAUAAAAUUGCACCAUUUGAUAAAAAAGUUUUAAGAAUGUAUGAUGAUAUCUUUACUUCAUACACUUUAUAUAAUAUUUAAGACAAUGACAUUAAUAUUAAACAAUGUAAUGAGUGUUUUAAAUUUAUAAAACUGUCGAAUAUAUCUUUCAUAUCUUGAAUUAAUUAGUCAUUUACCACAGUCACUCAUACAGAUACAGAUGAAUGUUGUUAUCUAAUAUAAUAAUACAUUUAAACAAAGCAUAAUUGAUUAUAUCUAAUAUCUAUGUUAAGUUAUUUUAAUAAUUUACUCAUCUGGGCAGAAACUUGAUCGAACUAGUGAUAAAAUAUUUGCAGCACUAAACAUUUUAAAUAUUUGAUCAACUAAUAAAAUUAGGUAUAGUUACCUUUUUGAUUUCUAGGAUAAUAAUCAAUUAAGAAGCACUUACCUACAUCCAUUAUUAUGAUUUCCGAGAUAGAAGGUCUUACAGAGAACAAAUUGGUGGUUUAUUUCAGGGCAUAUGUAUACUUUUCAAAUUUCUAUUCAUUGUUUGAGGUUUUACGUUUUACAUGAAAAUGUAAUAUUUGUAUAAAUUGAAGAUUUUUUUUCUUCAAACUAUAUGUUCUAUAUAUUUGAUACAUAUCAUAAAAGCUAUAUUUUUUUUCUUGUUAAAUAUUUAAUUAAUAUAAAUUUAGUAAAGAACAUGUUAAACUUUCUAAGUCUCUUUUGCAUCAAAUAAUGUGAAUCAUAUGUUUUAAGGUUGUAUUAAAAAAAAUGAGAAUGUGAAUCAAUUAGUAUUUAAUUUUGUAAGUUUACUGAACUACUUCAAAAUUUUGUCUUGCUUUUCUUCCGUACGUGGUUCUCUAUUCGACCUUUUCACUUCAUCUUCUUACUUACCCUUUGCUCAGUAACACGGAUUUUCUGCUUCUAAUCAAAAUGAGCAGCAACAAAGCAUAGCCAGGUACGUUUCAAAUCACACUUCCUUUGUUCCUUCAUUCUCUCAUACUCAAAACAAACUCACAUUCUGCACCUCAAAUUUCAUUUCUUCCUACCAACUUUACUUGCGCCAGAGGUAACCCAGUAGCGGCUUCUUCCUUUCCUCGUUUCCCCUCAGAAAAAGUCUGCGUCUUUUGGACUUCUCAUGGCAUUUCAACCCGGAACCGAACCUGGGUCAUCGCCUAGGUCCAUUUCUGGCACCAAUAAAAGAAGCUACGAUGAAAUGAGCAUUUCUGAGCUUGUUUCAGUUCUGCGUGUUGCGUUUCAAAUGAAGGAUUUUGAUGAAGUUGAAGAAGAGUUGGUGAACAGGGAAGCCAAACUUAGGGCAGAGCUUGGGUCACUCAGCGUCAGUGAUGUGAAGUUGGAAGAAAAUAUCAUGCCUUUGAGGAGUGAAGAUGACUCUGAUUGUGGGAACACUGAAGUGGAGCUUAAUCUUGCAGUUUCUUACGCUAUCAAAUAUGAAAAGGAUGUUGGUGACCACGAGCUUGAAAAUGACACUGGGGAGCCUGUUUCUUUCCAUAGGAAUGAAGAUACUCAUUACUCUGUUGAUGCCGGCACUGCUCAAUCUCCCGAAAAAGGGAACAAGGGUGAAGCUGUAGGUUCAUUAGGUAUGAAAAUGAAAAUUCUGUUCUCUUUGCAUUUCUUACAUCUAUAAUACAGAUUUACAUUUACAUAAGUUCCUCUAAAAUAUUGAAUUGUAUCAAACUGAAUGGAGUAAUAUGCACUUUGGUCAUAUUUCUUGGUAUCUUGAACCAUUAUGACUUAUUUGAGAGAAGGAAAUGGCUACUGGCAAGAACCAUGUUUAGUAAAUUAUUUGAAAUGGUGUGGUGAGGAAGCAACUCUUUCUCAACUGGAUUAAUUGAUGACUGAACCAGAUUACAUUAAAAUAGUCAAAAACUCAUCAUAGUUUGCAACUAUUAGUAGAUACUCCUCACAUCAUCCAAUCAUGUUGUUGAAGUAACAAUGUCAUAAUUAAGUUCAUCACAAGUUUGAGGUUUGAUGGCCCAAGUUUACACAAUGAGUUUGUUACUUUUGAAGAAUAGACUAAGGUGGUCUACCUUCAACUCAUGGUUUGAUUUGUAGAGUCAUGGUCAUCUAUAAGAUUUGAGGGUCCUAACUUUAAGCUGUAAAGUUGAGGUUUUCUUCUGCUUUAUGUUAUAUUGUAUUUUGUUCCCUUAGAUAACUGCAAAUCAUCUCCUUUAUGUUUUCUUUCUUUCCUGCCGAGACAACAACCAAUCUGAGAAAUUCCGACACUUUGGUCAUUGUUAUUGGUAUUACGGAUUAUUUUUUUUUAUCAGCAAAGAAUUAAAUAAAUUAAAAUGGGAUACUUUAGGGGUAUCCUAACUCCUUUACAGAUAAAGUAUAUAGAUACAUAGGAUGAUAUCUAUCUAUAUGACACUUCUUCCCUUCCUAACAAAAAACUACCGUCCAUGGAACAUAAAACAGCUAACACCUAAAAACAGGGAUCAUAUUCUUGAUGAUUCAAGCAAGUACUUCUUUUAGAGCAAAGACCCAGCAAUAUCAGCCUUGUAGAGCAACAACCUUGAUUUGGCCUUUUAACAUCAUCUAACACAGCUUGUAUGAGAAAAGCCAGAGUUGCCUUGAGCUUGCAGUAAGCUAUUCCUGCAGUAACUGAGCCAAAAGCCAGAGAAACCAGAGGGACCAAAAACAGCAAGUACAAGCAACAACAGCUGCAACUGCAACUGCAUAAUUCAGGUUUUUUAUCACAUGACCCAUUAGUGGCCUUAUGCCUUUAGCUCCAGCUACUACACGUCCAUCUAAAAAACAGUUUGCUUCAUGCCAUGACCCGUCUGUUCUUACAGCACCUCCAACGUCCUCCAUUACCUUUGCAUUUGGAAUCUCUCCUUCAAAUUUGUUUCCCGAUAAAUCAAUGCUCAAAAAGUUUGUUGGAAUUUUUUUGAAUGGCACACUCGUUCCUUUUGUUGUUACAGUCAUAGGUGAAUAAUAUACUGCAAAACUAAAUUCCCAUUGCAGGUAUUGCUGUGAAUUGCCAACCACCUCAUCUUGAACAAUAUUCUUAUCGCUUCAAAAUUUUGCAUGUAAUCUUCUGGAAUUGGGCCGCUGAAGUUGUUGGAUGAAAUAUCAAAAAUAAUUAAACUGGGUAAUCCAUGCUCGGUCUUGAAUAUGACAAUGGGACCAUGCAACUUAUUAGCCCGCAAAACCAACACUUUCAAAAACGGUAGAGUUCGAAGCCAGUGGGGAAAUGUAUCUUCUAUUUGAUUGUUGCCAAGAUUUAAAAUCUUUAAUCGCAUGCAGUUGGACAAAGAUUGUGGCAAAGGACCUUCUAAUCGGUUGUCAUUGAGAUUCAGACUCUGGAGACUGUACUUUGAAAAGGUAUUUGGCAAAGUUCCAUUAAGUCUGUUCAUUUCUAGAUUCAAAAUGAAAAGGGACGAUGAACUCGCAAGGCAUUGUGGAAUGGUGCCUGUCAACUUGUUGUUGGACAACACAAGAAUCUCAAGUGAACUUGCAUUGCAAAUUGACGAAGAGAUACCACCAGUGAGUAAGUUGUAACUAAGGUCAAGUUUUCUGAGUUGGUAGUUCCUAGAGAAUUGGUCCACUGGUGUUGUCAACCAAUUGGGCACCUUUCCAUUCAAUUUGUUGUUGGACAAAAUGAGAAUUUCCAAAACUGGGACUUUACUUAAUUUUGGAAAUUCGGUUAAACCCAAAGAAGACAAGUCCAACUUCUUUAAGCGGGAGAAACUAUAAUUGACACUUGAUUCAAACUUUAGUGAUAAUUGACUUAAAUUUGAAAGGUUAAGAAUUUCAAGAUUUUGGAACUUGGAGAAAAGUGAAAAUUUGACAGAACCGCUGAAGUUGUUCCAUGACAGAGAUAAAUAAGUAAGGUUGACAAGGUUGAAAAUUGAUUCUGAAAUAUUGCCCUGCAGCUUGUUGUCACUCAAAACUAGAUCCUGCAAGGAAUAUGAGGAGAUUGCAGGUAUAUGGCCUGUGAACUGAUUAUUCGAUAGAGAUAAAUACAACAACGAUGGCAAAGAGAAACACCAAGAAGGAAUUGUACCAUUUAGCAUGUUGUCAGUCAAGGAUAACAAAGCUAGAUUUGAAAACCCUGCUAUGAGGUUUUACGUUUUACAUGAAAAUGUAAUAUUUGUAUAAAUUGAAGAUUUUUUUUCUUCAAACUGUUGAUGGCAGCUCACCUUGGAUAUUGUUACAAUUCAAAUCCAAUUUUUCAAAUCUGUUUGAUUGAUGAAAUACAUUUGGUAUUUGACCACUGAGAUGAUUAUAACAGAGAAGCAGAACAUUUAGACGUGGAAGGGUUAAGAGUGAGGAUGGAAUUGAACCAUUGAGGGAAUUGUAUGAGAGGUCCAAUAAAGUAAGACUUGUAAGGUUAGAGAAAGAAGGAGGGAUUGGCCCUUGGAAUGCACAACCUGAGAUUUGUAAGACGUUGAGAGAAGCUGAACUACAUCUCAGGCUUGGAAGUUGGCCAUGAAGUUCAAAAUUACCUGAUAGAUCUAAGUAUUGCAGAUUUGGCAAACAAAGAAUGGCAUUUGUCAACUUUCCCUUCAACCCAAUUCCUCCAAGACUUAGAGUGAUGAGAGAGGAAGACAAAUUGAGUGACCUCAUUGAAGUUGAUGACAAAUCUGUAUAAUUCAAAACUAGCACCCUUAAUUCGGUUGCAUUUUGGAGCAUCUUCUUCCAUGUGCCUUCCUUCCACUUUAACUGUUGGAGAGAGAGAUCAAGUGAUUGCAAUUUGGAAAGAUGUGAGAUUUGGGGAGGAAUUUCACCUUGAAAGUUUGAAAAAGACAAGUUGAGGUGUGUGAGGUUCACAAACUCACCUAUUGGAGAUGGAAUCUGAGAGUUAGAGAAGUCAUUGAAAGCAAGAUUGAGUGAUUGCAUAUGAGAAAGACUGAAAAGGGUACUGUUUGCAUUGAUUUGACCCUGAAGCCCACCACAUGUAAGGUCGAUGGCAGUCACAUGACCAGAAAUGGGGUGGCAUGUGACUCCAGACCAAGAGCAGCAAUCUGUUCCAUUUUCCCAUGUUGCUAUAGUUGGAUAAACCUGAUGGCAAUGAUAAGAAGAAUACAUAGUAUUAAUAGUUAAGGAGGCCUUGAAGUGAAGCAGUGCAAGGUUGUCAUGGGGGUGACAGAAGGAAUGGGAGAAUGAAAAAUGAAAGAGCAGAAAAUUGCAACACACAGGAAACAACCACCACAUUCCCAUGGAUGAUUUCAUUCUAACUUGUGUGCAGUCUACAGUGGUCACAUAGACUUAGUAUAAAGGAGAUAUACUUGGAUGAAUAUAUUAAAUGUUGAGAUAAGGUUUUGGUGGUUAAAAUGAAGCUUUGAUUGUGGUCCUAGACUCCUAAUUUGGCAUUGUCAAAGAAAGAAAUUUCAAACCCUUCUGUUCAACGGAUCAGAAGUCAUUGUCGGUGGAUCAUUGACUUGGAAGUUAUUGCGGGUUAGAGUCGUCAUUUUAGAAUUUUUAUUUCUUCAAUUAUUAAGUUAAACAAACACUUCCUCUGUCAUUUUCUAAUUUUUUUUAAAUAUAUAGAAACUAACAAGUACAACAAUUAUUUUUUUGGAUAAAUAGACAAUAGUACAAUAUGCCCUAAAAAGUGGGAGUUUUUGUUUUGAUUUUCCAUCUUAAAACUUAUGUUUUGUAUCUUUAUCCUACAGGGAGUGGCCAGAGGAGAUGAGUUGUUUUUAAAACCACUUAAUAGCUGAUAUUACUCUUACUUAAUUCUUAAUGAUCUAUGCAGAUACAGUUAGACCCCUAGACCCCUAAAUGAUGAUGAUGAUGUCUGAAAAGGCCUCCUAAAUGCACUUCAAUUUCUUCUAAUUGACAAGAAAAUAUUUUGUUUUUGUGGCCGGCCAAGUGAAGUCUGAAAUUAAACAAAUGGCACAAUGUUGGCGCUUUCACACUUUCCUAUUACAAAAUGCCAAAAAUAAGGAACAAAAUAACAUAACGGACAUGGCACAAGUUUAAGGGCAGAUUUAGUAGAUAUCAAGAAAACCAAAGAAAAUGAAAAACGUAAUAAAGGAUAAUACAUCAAAUUCAAUAUUGCACUGUAGAUUUGGGUUGAAACUGUUUGUCUAAAAACUUUCCUAUUUAUGUAUUAAAAUGAUUCUUGAUCCAAUGAUGAAAACAUCUUAUGGUAGUGUAUACAGAUUCCAGAUCUGAUGUAACAUAAAAGCUUACCAAUAUCAAUUUAUAUGAUGCAUUUAGAAUCCGUUUGUAACUUGACAUGCAUCAUGCUAUUUGUCGGUGGAAGUAUCAGUAAGGUACAUUUUCCAUAAAGAAAUUACAAUUCAUGUAAUCCUCCAGAUUUUCAUCAUUAUCUAUAAACUUUUACAAUCAGUGAUCAUCGGAUUUGUCCAAACUGGAGUUGGACCUCACGGUAUACUAUAAGAAAAUCAUGAAAUAGAAACCAAUUGGUCUCUAGCAAUUUUGUUUGGGUGUGAUACUCCUUAAUAAGUCCCGCACCAAUGUCUAGCCAAAUCAGAAACAACUCAUCUGUAGGAUAAAUACAAAACAUAAGUUUUAAGAUGGAAAAUCAAAACAAAAACUCCAACUUCUUAGGGCAUAUUGUACUUAAUUGUCUAUUUAUCCAAAAAAUAUUGUUGUAUUUGUCAGUUUCUAUAUAUUUAAAAAAAUAGAAAAUAACAGAGGAAACGAGGUUUUAGAUGUGUAGAAAGAAAUAAGUGUUUGUUUAACUUAAUAAUUGAAGAAAUAAAAACUCUAAAUUUCUGUGAUGAAUAAAAUCAGAGCAUAACUGUGUCGACUCUGACCCGCAAUGACUUACAAGUCAAUGCUAGGAACGAUCCAUAAAGGUUAGGCUAGAAAUUUGAUACUAUUUGUUUGACAUAUUGGUCCAGCCAACUGUCCUACCAUUAAAACGACCAUUGAUGUGCCUAUAAGCAUUUUAUUAUUACUCCAUUGGUUAGAAAAUUGUGACAAAUUUAAUCACGGCAAUGACUUGACUUCUAAUAAUCAGUUGAACAAAAGGGUUUGAAAUUUCUUUCUAUGACAAACUAUGAGUCUAGGACCACAAUCAAAGCUUCAUUUUAACCACCAAAACCUUAUCUCAACUUUUAAUUUGGCUCUAAAUAUCCAUCUUAUAAUUUGUAUAUCUACUUUAUACUAAGUCUGUGUGACCACUCUAGACUGCACACAAGUUAGAAUGAAAUCAUCCAUGGAAAUGGGGUGGUUGUUUCCUGUGUGUUGCCAUUUUCUGCUCUUUUAUUUUUUGUUCUUCAGGGUAGAUUCAGUGCAAAAAGUACCCUUUUCAGUCUUUCUCAUCAGUCAGUUUCAUAUUUGUUUCCUGAAAUCUUGAUUGCUGAUCAAAGCUUCUAAUGGUUGAAGUACCAGAAAUUGUUUUAGAAAAGUGUUGAAUGAGUGGGGCUUUGCAGACUCCAACUAAACGUGAUAGUUCUUGCUGCAGUCAAAUUAAUAGCUGAUAGCAAAUGCUGACUAUAAUCACAGGUACAAAGACAACGAAAACCUGCCAUGCAGCCUGAGACAUCACUGCUAUAAUUCCCAAAAGUUGGAUCAUAAUGAAGGCAAAUGAUGCAAUUUGAUGAGGACAACAUCGUUGGAAAGGUGCCUGUGAGACAACAUGGCAGUUAAAAUGAAGUUGAAAAACAAAAUUUGCUGAACUCAAAAUGAGAUGUGUAGUUGGAAGAAUGGGACAGUAAAAGAGAGUUUGAAGAUUUAGAGGUUAUAAGCAGUGGAAAUUGAUUGCAGAAAAGUGUAGUAAAAAAUGUAAGAGACAAAAGGGUAACUUGGUUAGGAAGAUUGUAACUUGGUAGGCAAGACUCUGAGUUUAGUAGAAGGAACAGAAUAGUAGAAAAAGUUCUUUUUUAUAUUUUAUUGUUGUCGGUCUAGGUAGAAGGUGACGUGAAAUUAAGAUACACUAUUACUUUAUUAUAAGAUGGCUUGGUCUUUAUUAAAUAAUAAAUGUAAUCCUAUAUCCACUAAAUCAAUCACAACCUAACAACUCUUUAUUAUUUUCCUAAAAUUACUAAUAUUCAAAUGAAAUGUUAAACAUUCAACUAUUUUAUAUUUAGUAGUUAUUGUAACACUUAAAAUUAUAUAUUUGGACAAAAAUAUGCAUACUACAACUUAAGCUUUGAUCACUCUAUUGCAUACUUCAUCACACUCUCAGCAGCAACAAAGCAUAGCCAGGUACGUUUCAAAUCAUGAUAUUUACCAAUUAUAUAUUUCUCCCACAAGAUUAUUAUAGGAAAGAUUCAGCACUUCAAGAAAGUUCAUAUUCACCAAUUCUGUAGGAAUCCCUACCAGUCAACAUAUUUGAAGAGAGAUCCAAUGACUCCAAUUUUAUCAAAUUGGUCUGCCUUGGCAGGGUUCUGCUUAAGAAAAGCAAGGUUUUGGUUCUUGAUGAAGCCACUGCAUCAGUUCUCCAAUGGUAAUAACUGUGGAGUCAACAAACUCUUAGGCAACAUUUCACUGACUCCACAGUUAUUACCAUUGCACACCGAAUAACUUCUGUUCUUCACAGUGAUAUGGUUCUGCUUCUUAGUCAGGGUUAGGAAAGCCUCUCAUUCUUCACAUACCAUUCAUAUUCUUUGCAUCUUCAUCUUUCAUUUUCUGAUUUGGCUAGACAUUGGUGCGGGACUUAUUAAGGAGUAUCACACCCAAACAAAAUUGCUAGAGAAUAAGUCAUCAUCUUUUGUCUGGAGGAUUACAUGAAUUGUAAUUUGUUUAUGGAAAAUGUGCCUUACUAGUACUUCCACCAAUAUAUAGCAUGAUGCAUAUCAAGUUACAAACGGAUUCUAAAUGCAUCAUAUAAAUUGAUAUUGGUAAUGAUAUAGUAAGCUUUCAUGUUAUAUCAUUUUGCUGAAAUCAGAACUGGAAUCUGUAUACACCACCAUAAGAUGUUUUGAUGAUUGGAUCAAGAAUCAUUUUAAUACAUAAGUUUUUUAGGCAAGCAGUUUCUAUCCAAAUCUACCGUGCAACAGCAUUGUGAUGACUGAAUAUUGAAUUGGAUAUCUACUAAAUCUACCAUUAAACUUGUGUCGCACCCAUUAUGUUAUUUUGUUCCUUAUUUUUGGCAUUUUGUAAUAGGAAAGUGUAAUAGCGCCAACAUUGUAAUAUCGGAAUAAUGAUGGAAAGAAACAGAGAUGUGCAUUUAGGAGGCCUUUUCAGAAAUCAUCAUCAUCAUUUAAUGGGCAAGUGCCAAAGUAUUUCAGUUCUAAUUGUAUCUGCAUGCAUAGAUCAUUAAGAAUUAAGUAAAACUAAUAUCAGAGUGGUAUUAAAAACAACUCAUCUCCUGUGGGCACUCCCCGUAGGAUAAAGAUACAAAACAUAACUUUUAAGAUGGAAAAUCAAAACAAACACUCCCACUUUUUACGGUAUAUUGUACUUAAUUGUCUAUUUAUCCAAAAAAAAAAUUGUUGUAUUUGUUAGUUUCUAUAUAUUUAAAAAAAUUAGAAAAUGACAGAGGAAGUGUUUGUUUAACUUAAUAAUUGAAGAAAUAAAAACUCUAAAAUGACUACUCUGACCCGCAAUGACUUCCAAGUCAAUGAUCCACUUCAACAGAAGGGUUUGAAAUUUCUUCCUUUGACAAACUAGGAGUCUAGGACCACAAUCAAAGCUUAAUUUCACUCACCAAAACCUUGUCUCAACUCUUCAUUUGACUACAAAUAUUCAUCCAAGUAUAUCUCCUUUAUACUAAGCCUAUGUGACCACUGUAGACUGAACACAAGUUAGAAUGAAAUCAUCCAUGGGAAUGGGGUGGUUGUUUCCUCUGUGUUGCCAUUUUCUGCUCUUUCAUUUUUCAUUCUCCCAUUCCUUCUGUCACCCCCAUGACAACCUUGCUCUUAAUAAUACUAUGUAUACCUAUUAUUUUCGUUAUGAUGAUGAUGAUGAAUUGCCAUCAGGUUUAUCCAACUAUAGCAACAUGGGAAAAUGGAACAAAUUGCUGCUCUUGGUCUGGUGUCACAUGCCACCCCAUUUCUGGUCAUGUGACUGCCAUCGACCUUACAUGUGGUGGGCUUCAGGGUAAAAUCAAUGCAAACAGUACCCUUUUCAGUCUUUCUCAUAUGCAAUCACUCAAUCUUGCUUUCAAUGACUUCUCUAACUCUCAGAUUCCAUCUCCAAUAGGUGAGUUUGUGAACCUCACACACCUCAACUUGUCUUUUUCAAACUUUCAAGGUGAAAUUCCUCCCCAAAUCUCACAUCUUUUCAAAUUGCAAUCACUGGAUCUCUCUCCCUCACACUAUGAUGAGUUUCAGUUAAAGUGGAAGGAAGGCACAUGGAAGAGGAUGCUCCAAAAUGUAACCGAAUUAAGGGUGCUAGUUUUGAAUUAUAUAGAUUUGUCAUCAACUUCAAUGAGUUCACUCAAUUUGUCUUCCUCUCUGAUCACUCUAAGUCUUGAUGGAACUGGGUUGAAGGGAAAGUUGACAGAUGACAUUCUUUGUUUGCCAAAUCUACAACACCUAGAUCUAUCAGGUAAUUUUCUUCAUGGCCAACUUCCAAGCCUGAGUUGUAGUUCAGCUUCUCUCAACGUCUUACAAAUCUCAUAUUGUGAAUUACAAGGGCCAAUCCCUCCUUCUUUCUCUAACCUCACAAGUCUUACUUUGUUGGAUCUCUCAUUCAAUUACCUCAAUGGUUCAAUUCCAUCCUCACUCUUAACCCUUCCGCGUCUAAAUGUUUUGCUUCUCCGUUAUAAUCAUCUUAGUGGUCAAAUACCAAAUGUAUUUCAUCAAUCAAACAGAUUUGAAGAAUUGGAUUUAAGAGAGAACAAUAUCCAAGGUGAGCUGCCAUCAACAAUUUCAAAUCUUCAACACCUCAUUCACUUGGAUAUAUCACGUAACAAAUUAGAGGGACCUCUGCCCAACAAAAUAGCAGGGUUUUCAAAUCUAGCUUUUUUAUUAUUGAAUGACAACUUGCUAAAUGGUACAAUUCCUUCUUGGUGUUUCUCUUUGCCAUCGUUGGUGAAUUUAUAUCUAUCGAAUAAUAAGUUCACGGGUCAUAUACCUGCAAUCUCAUCAUAUUCCUUGCAGGGUCUAUCUUUGGGUGGCAAUAAGCUACAGGGCAAUAUUUCAGAAUCAAUUUUCAACCUUGUCAACCUUACUUAUUUAUCUCUGUCAUCGAACAACUUCAGUGGUUCUGUCAAUUUUUCACUUUUCUCCAAGUUCCAAAAUCUUGAAAGACUUUACCUUUCAAAUUUAGGUCAAUUAUCACUAAACUUUGAAUCAAGUGUCAAUUAUAGUUUCUCCCGCUUAGAGAUGUUGGACUUGUCUUCUUUGGGUUUAACCGAAUUUCCAAAAUUAUCAAGAAAAGCAGUUUUGGAAUCUCUCAUUUUGUCCAACAACAAAUUGAAUGGGAAAGUUCCCAAUUGGUUGCAUGAAAUAGAUUCUUUACAUGCUGUAAACCUAGCCCAAAACUCUUUGACAACACCAGUGGACCAAUUCUCUAGGAACUACCAACUCAGAUAUCUUGAUCUAAGUUACAACUUACUCACUGCUGGCAUCUCUUCAUCAAUUUGCAAUGCAAGUUCACUUCAGGCUCUCGUGUUGUCCAACAACAAGUUGACAGGCACCAUUCCGCCUUGCGAGUUCAUCGUCUCUUGCAAUUUUGAAUCUAGAAAUGAACAGACUUAAUGGAACUUUGCCAAAUACCUUUUCAAAGAACAGUGUCAUGACGAGUCUGAAUCUCAAUGACAACCGAUUAGAAGGUUCUUUGCCAGAAUCUUUAUCCAACUGGAGCUUUUAAAUCUUGGCAACAAUCAAAUAGAAGAUACAUUUCCCCACUGGCUUCGAACUCUACCGUAUUUGAAAGUGUUGGUUUUGCGGGCUAAUAAGUUGCAUGGUCCCAUUUCCAUAUUCAAGACCAAGCAUGGAUUUCCCAGUUUGAAAAUUUUUGAUAUCUCAUCCAACAACUUCAGCGGCCCAAUUCCAGAAGACUUCAUACAAAGUUUUGAAUCCAUGAAGAAUAUUGUUCAAGAUGCGGUGGUUAUCCACAGCAAUACAUGCAAUGGCCAUCUAUUAUUUCACUAUAUUAUUAUUCUCCUACGACUGUAACAACAAAAGGCACGAGUGUGCUAUUCAAAAGAAUUCCAACAAACUUUGUGAUCAUUGAUUUAUCAAGAAACAAAUUUGAAGGAGAGAUUCCAAAUGCAAUUGGAGAGCUUAAAGCACUCAUUGGACUGAACCUCUCCCACAAUAGACUCAGUGGUCCUAUUCCCCAAUCCAUGAGAAAUCUUAUUAAAUUGGAGUCUUUGGAUCUCUCUUCAAAUAUGCUGACUGGUAGGAUUCCUACAGAAUUGGUGAAUAUGAACUUUCUUGAAGUGCUGAAUCUUUCCUAUAAUAAUCUUGUGGGAGAAAUACCUCAAGGAAAGCAGUUUGGUACUUUUACGAAUGAUUCCUAUGAGGGAAACUUGGACUUAUGUGGAGUGAAAUGUAGGGAAAAGCAUGAUGAUCAACCUUCUCCACCUUCACAAACAUUGUGGAGAGAAGACAAAUUUGGAUUUGGUUGGGAAGCAGUGGCUAUAGGAUAUGGUUGUGGAAUGGUGUUUGGAGUGGUGAUGGGAAGCUUUGUAUUUCUUAUUGGAAAGCCUAAAUUGCUUGUGAGAAUGUUUG
rnacentral:lncRNA from 1 species